UAAUGGUGAUGGAUGGCCACGGAGCUGCCUCAUCUCAGCGGCUCCUGCCAAGGCUGCUAGGGGUUUGGCGGAGGAACAUUCCUUCUGCUUCCUGAGGUAGGAGCUGAGCACUGCAGGUAGGAGGGAGGCAAAUGGUGAGUUCUUCAGCGUUCUGCUUGAUCUCCUGGAAUGCCACCUAGGAAAAGCUGGAAUGGGCAAUGCUGGCACAGAAGUCUCUACUCUAUCCACGUUCUCAGGGACACCAGGUUAAAUCACAAGCCAUGCAAAGGACACGGUGUCUGUCUCAGCGUCUGCCUCUCAGGAAGUGCUGCUGUGGCUCCCAGGUUCUGAGCCCCCGGCAGGAGGGCCCCUGGAAACCUUAACGAAGUCUGGCACAGUCGUUGUACAGUGGAAGAAAAUUCAUUGAAGAGAAUCUGAGCGUUCAUGGACGCUCUGGAGAAUUCUCUGGAAUUGAUCACAGUGACGGCAGCCACAACUCGGGGAGGCAGUGCAUCCCUGCAGGACCACGGCCUCAAUCUUCUCCAUGGAAAAAAGAAACAUUUUCCUGCUGGUGACUGAGAUGUCUGGCUCUUUCCUCUUUCCUCACAAGCGCUUAUCUCUAAGCCUGAAGGGAUUUGCAAAGUUGAAGGCAAGCAGCGUGCAGUAUUGUAGUUACAAGGGAGAGACAAAGUGACUGAGAAACAGGAUAAUCCCACCUUAUCUGUCAGGCAUUAAAAGUGCCAUUUCCAAAGAGGAGGCACAAAUGAGUCCUCUGAACGGAUUUUGACAUCCGCUCUUCACCACAGAUCAGAGAAUAUCAUUCACGAUCAUUUACUGAUCUUGGUUUUGUAAGAUAUGUGAGCCUGGAGGGUAUAUUCUAUUCCUUUUAGGAAAAACAGUAUAAUUUGCUGUCCUUUAAGAGCUAUUUUAGAACUUGGAUAAAAUAUUCGAAUGAGGCUAUUCUCUUAAUUAGAGAACAUUAUUGGUUUAUCUGUUUACUACUUUAUGCCAAAAAUAGAACCAGUCCCGUGAACAAUGGAAAACCGAAUGAGAAGGUCUGCCUUCCAAAUGAUGAUAUUUGAUUAGGGGAGACAGACAACACACAUCAACGUUAACAUUAGAAAUUAUAAAUAAGGGGGGCCUGGGUGGCUCAGUCAGUUAAGCGUCUGCCUCUUGAUUUCAGCUCAGGUCAUGAUCUCAGGGCGCUGAGAUGGAGCCUGGUGAGCCCUUCUGGUUCGGGACAGAGUCGGCUUGUUUCUGUCCCUCUGCCCCUCCCCCCUGCUCACUCCAGCAUGCUCUCUUCCUCUCUUUCCCUAAAAUAAAUAAGUAAAAUCUCAAAGUAAAAGAAGCUAUAAAUGGAAUGCAGACCCUCAGAGGGAAGGUGCUUAUUGGGUGGAUGGGCGAGCCGGCUCUGGCACAAGGCACCCUAGAGCUGGGCAUGGAAGGAAAGGCAGAAUCCCCAGAGGCCCAGUCUGGUGUCUCAAGCAGGACGGUGCACUCAGGGGCCAGUGCGAGGCUGGGGGAGGGGUGGAGGGCAGGCCGAGCAGGGUGCGAGAUACGGGUGGGCACUGGGGAUAAGCUCAGAGAUGCUGGUCAGGACCCAGUCCUGGAGGGAUGAGAACAUUGGAACCCCGA